GUACCUGCCCGAAAGUGGGGAAUAACCUCGUGAAAGCGAGGCUAAUACCGCAUGUGGACGAAAGUCUAAAGGCUUCGGCCGCUUUCGGAUGGGCCCGAGCCCUAUUAGCUUGUUGGUAAGGUAAAGGCUUACCAAGGCUACGAUAGGUAGGGGGUGUGAGAGCAUGGCCCCCAACACGAGGACUGAGAUACGGCCUCGACUCCUACGGGGGGCAGCAGUCUAGAAGCUUCGGCAAUGGGGGAAACCCUGACCGAGCGACGCCGCGUGUGGGAUUAAGCAUUUUGGUGUGUAAACCACUUUCGAC
rnacentral:rRNA from 14 species